UUCCGGUUGAUCCCGCCGGACCUGACUGCUAUCGGAUUGAUACUAAGCCAUGCGAGUCAUUGUAGCAAUACAAGGCAGACGGCUCAGUAACGCGUAGUCAACCUACCCUAUGGACGGGAAUAACCUCGGGAAACUGAGUAUAAUGCCCGAUAGAACACUAUACCUGGAAUGGUUUGUGUUUCAAAUGAUUUAUUGCCGUAGGAUGGGACUGCGGCCUAUCAGUUUGUUGGUGAGGUAAUGGCCCACCAAGACUAUUACAGGUACGGGCUCUGAGAGGAGUGGCCCGGAGAUGGGUACUGAGACACGGACCCAGGCCCUAUGGGGCGCAGCAGGCGAGAAAACUUUGCAAUGUGCGAAAGCACGACAAGGUUAAUCCGAGUGGUUUCUGCUAAAGGAACCUUUUGACAGUCCUAGAAACACUGUUGAAUAAGGGGUGGGCAAGUUCUGGUGUCAGCCGCCGCGGUAAAACCAGCACCUCAAGUGGUCAGGAUGAUUAUUGGGCCUAAAGCAUCCGUAGCCGGCUCAGUAAGUUUUCGGUUAAAUCUGUACGCUCAACGUACAGGCUGCCGGGAAUACUGCAGAGCUAGGGAGUGGGAGAGGUAGACGGUACUCGGGAGGAAGUGGUAAAAUGCUUUGAUCUUUCGAUGACC
rnacentral:rRNA from 1 species